GACGAACCGUGCGAACGUUAUUCGGAAUCACUGGGCUUAAAGGGCGCGUAGGCGGGCUGCCAAGUCUGGGGUGAAAUCCCACGGCUCAACCCGAACUGCGUCCGAUACUGGUUGGCUUGAAUCCGGGAGAGGGAUGCGGAAUUCCAGGUGUAGCGGUGAAAUGCGUAGAUAUCUGGAGGAACACCGGUGGCGAAGGCGGCAUCCUGGACCGGCAUUGACGCUGAGACACGAAAGCGUGGGUAGCAAACAGG
rnacentral:rRNA from 1 species